AUAAGAUUAAAUGUUCCCUUUGAUUAGCAACAUUAUCCUUCUGCAAAUUUAAUAGGCACCCAAUGGAAAUAGGUCAAGGAAAAAAUGUUACAUACUUCCAAUCAUACUUAAUUAACUGCCAACUUCAAAAUGCUUGGAGAAAUAAUUAUUUGUAGUUCUUUCACCUGAAACCCAAACAUCGCCUGAAGCCAAUCUAAAAUAUCUUCAUCUCUUUUCUUCUUGUGGUCUUUGGGCCAUGGAGGACCCCUUGUGUAGCGGAGAGCGACAACAGCAGCUUGGAUCUACAAAUGGUUAUACACAAGCAUUUUCAUGCUAAGUGAGAGAAGCUAAAACAAAGCUCACUAUCCAAAGCACACAUAAGAAAUGUACCUCAGGAUAUUUCAUAAUUGCCUGAUUUGCACUAUCAGGAUCAAGUGGAAGGAUAUUGUAAGGGACAUAUAUCUGAGUCUUUUCUGCAACUUUAUCCUGAGCUUCUAAAAUCUUUACAAAUGUCCACAAAGAAUAAAUUUACACAUAUGUAACAGCUGGUCAGCAAUUAGCAUUAUUAAGUUGACAAAAAUUGAAAUAGGUGAUAUCUGCCAUCAGAUUAAACAUUCACAAUAGAGUAAAUGUCACAAGGUUUCACCUCACGAUCUACUUCAAUAGAUUGUGUCAUAUUAACAGCUUUCAAAACCUCAAAGAGAACAUUAGCAGUUUGGUAUGCCUUUGUAAGCUGUGCACUGGAUUUAAAAAGACAACCGUCAAAAAUGGCAACUACGCUGGGAUUCCAGAAAAUAUUAGCUAACAAAACUUCUUACUAAGACAUAAGCAAAUAUCUCUAUCUUUUCUCUUCUACAGCAAAAAACUCACCGAUCAGCUUUAUCAGCAGCAUUUUGCAAGGCUUGGAUAUACUUUUUGUAGUAAUGUUGAUAAAAACUCUGCAUUUCCCGCGCAUCACUCUUUUUUACCCUUCCCAUCAAGGUUGGAUCAUUUUCCUGAAAAGAAUUAAAGAAAACCCCUCUAGUAGCAAAUAGAAGAGAGCAUUAAUGAAGCAAAUAGCUAAAGGUAUCACUUAACCAUAUACUGGUCGUAAUUCUCAAUCUAUAGAAAUUGUUUCUACUAAAAAAAUCAUGUAUUACACAGUGGUCAUGGGUGUCAAGACUUGGACUUCAGAAACUGACAUUCAUUUAUACUAAAAUCAUACCCUGUUUGUAACAUUACUUCUUAUUUUACGCAUUUUUCAUAAUUGCAUUAUGUAUAAACUAUCAACUAUCAGUCCAUAGGACACUUCUUCCUUGAGCAAUUAGCAUCCCAAAAAGACUCAUUACCCUAACAGUUAAAACCGCUCCACACACCAAGACCCCAAUAAUUUAGUUCAUACAAAUCAAAGGAACUUCCAAAUCAAGCAUGGGACUUCAAAAAGAGACAUUCAUUUAUACAAAAAUCAUACCCUGUUUGUAACACUAAUUCUUAUUUUACAAAUGCAGAAUUGCAUUAUGUAUAACCUAUCAGUCCAUGGGAGACUUCUUCCUUGAGCAAUAAGCAUCCCAAAAAAACUCUUUACCCUAACAGGUAAACCAUUCCAAACUCCAACACCACAUCAAUUAAGUUCAUGCAAAUCAAUGGAACUUUCCCAGUCAAACAUGGGAGUUCCUAUUUUAGACAGAAGACUUAGGACAAUCUGUACAUUAUGCAAUCUCAGGUCAAAUUGAGGGCCUUGAAAUGUCUCACACACUGUCAUCUCCGAACAUGCUACUUCAAUGACUUGAGAAGAUGAAGUUGUUAGAAUUAAGCUAAUAAAGCCUUUUUUUUUUUUUUUUUUGGCCUUCACAAAUGGAAGCCAACGAAAUAUCUAGCAUAAUUUUUAUUUCAUCAAUGAGAUGGAAUAUCAGGGAUUAGAUAACAUAAACUGCAGAAUACAAAGUAUAUACAUGCGAAGCUAUUAUAUACAAAAAGUACUAACAUCUUGCAAGAUUUCGGACAACUUGCCAGGACAGUUAAUCUCUUGUCCAAAUAGAACCGCAUUUUUUAUUAAAUGCCAAAUCAUCAAACCAUAAAUAAAGUAAAGAUGGAUAUAUAACAUUCCCAUAGACUAUAAACAUGCAUGUGCACUUCACUAGUUACUACCCAUGAUAAAAUGGAGGCAUCUCAUUCCAGAAUAGGUAGGUCUCCCUCUCUAACACUGGACUCCUAAAGCUAGUCCUAAUUCUCUAAGGACUCCUGUAAAACCAAUUAAUGUUCUCCUUAUCCAAUAAGGACUCAAAAGACUCAAAGGAAAUAUGGGAAUAAUUAUGUAUUUUAUAGAUGACCUUUCAAACAUGACACGUUUAUGUGUCAUGGCACAAUUGGUCCCAAAUACCUAUCAAUUAAAAUAUGGGUUUCUCCAUGUUUACAGUUAGUAGAAAAAAGAAUACAUUAAGUGAAAUUUUUCCUGCUACAUAUUUGUCCACAAUUAUAUAUUUGUUCAUCUGAAGAAUAAUAUUUAUUAAUUAUAUGAUAAUGGAUGGGACCAUUACAUACACUACAAGUUUUUGUUGCUCCAAACCAUUAUACUUGAUGUGUUAGGCAUUUUAUGUUUUACAGUCACUACCGUUAUUUUCCCUUUUCUGCACCACUUCCAACCAACAAUUUCAAUUUUUUUUGCAAUUUAAAUCCUUCAAAAAUUGCCUAAAUUAGCUUAUUCUUGAUUUGGCUUCAUAACAAGGCAAAAAUCGAGAUAAGAGUAUCUGUGGUAUCCUUUUCAAACUUUUCUUGAAGAAGGUGUGUUAACUUUGACUUUUCCCAUGUUGAUUACUUGCUUUUGUAAAUUACUUGUUAACAGAUUUGGUGAUGCUAUAUUGCCACUUAUAUCAUACAUUAGUUUGAUAAUUAGCUAGUGGCAUUUCUCAGUUUUAGUAAAGUCCUUUAACAUAUAUUUUUUAUGCAUUUGGCAACCUUUAUAGAAAUAAUUGUAUAGUGACAAGCUGCAACAUAAAGUGAAAGCAGAGACAGCCCAUUUCCAUUACAAAAGACCAGAAUUUAACAUGAUUGCACAAUAUUUCACUAAAAACUGCAGCCUGCAAAGUUACAAUCUAGGAUCCGUCCUUGAUUAAAAAACUAACUAUUUCUAUUUCUAUCAAAAGCAUCCAAUAAGUUGUGCCAAGGAAAUUCUUUAAACGGGACGAAAAAUAACUUAACUUACCCUUUCAAGACGUUGGAGGAGUGCAGUUUUAAAUUGGCGAACACCACGUCCACUAGAAGUAGGGUCCAACCUAUGUGCCUUCUCAAAGGCAUAAAAUCGGCCUACAUUAAGAGUACCAGAAAAUGAGAUACGGUAUCAAAUGGAAGCUCCAACAUAGAAAUAUGAAAGGAAAAUACCAAUAAGGAUGGGUGUUCACCCACAUGAAAAUAAAGAAAAAGUUUGAAUUAAAAUCCAUAUAAUCAUGAAAGCUUUCUAAGUAAAUUCAACACUAGUAUGGCAUUUGAAGUCCACAACAGAAUUUUCAGAGCUGAAACAAUUAUUUAAGGAAAUCAGAAAUACACAAAAACCUUUAAUUACCUUAUGGAGAUUUAGUAAUCUAGUAAAGGCAGUUGCACAUACUUUCAGGAAUAUAAACAGCUAAUACCAGGACCAAGACAGGAAUAACAUUCAAUUCAUUACAUAAUGCAGCCUUUUUUUUUCACGAGAACAGAAUUUUCUGAGAAAAGAAAAAAAGGAGAAUAGAUUGUGGAGGACAAGCAAUCCUCCACAAUGUUAAAAAGUGCAACCACUUGUCAAAUCUCAUAAUCACAGAAUCACAUGCAACAAGCAUCACGUUCAUACAUUCACUUUCACAUACGCAAGCUUGCCAUGCAACAUGCAAAAGAAAGCCCAAGCAACCCAAAAUACAUUAAGACAUGUAGAAUGGAACACAGCGGAGAAAAACGCAUGAUUCAAAUGAAGUCAAAUUUCUCAGAAUUCUGAGCCUUCAAGAUGUAGCAGACACAAGGCCAACAGGCAACCAAACACUACACACACAAAGAGGCAGACUACUAUACUGGUAAGUAGAAUGAAGGUGUACUUAGUUACAGCUUAAAAUUCAUGCUGCCAUUACAACCUGAAAUUUAAGAACCCAUUUUAAUAAAAAAAAAAAAGGUCAGAAAUAUGUGAAAAAAAAAAAAUUUCCCUCGAAACAUACUAGAAAGCAAUUCAGAACCCAAAUUAAUCACAGAAAAAAGAUAAAAAGUUAAACAAAUCAAAUUACCCAAAAAAAUAAAAAUAAAAAAAAGCCAAAAAAAUGUAGCCUUCUAUAAACUUACAUAGAUAAGCAACUCUUGGGUUGCUAGAUUCUACUUCAUUAGCAACACGGAGAAUAGGAGCUAUCUCAACUAAUGAAGAUGGCACCACCUCACUGUCAAAUAUCGACUCUCCAAGAUUCCCUGCAGUCUGCGUCCUUAUGAUCCGCCGUGCUGGCGGUGGCGUAGCCUGAUCCGGCCCUCCUCUCGACGAGGAAGCCAUCUGUUUCCGUAUCCGUGAACCUUAUUUCCCUUAAAAAUUAAAAAAAAAAAUUAAAAAUAAAAAAUCAAGCUCAUUGCUUCUCUAACUAGCAACCACACAUAAAAAAACGAGAAAAAUAAUAAUAAAAUUGCCAAAAGAUAAACUAAAAUGGAAAUUUCUUCAUUUUUAACAAGAAAAUUUAAGAACUAAAGCAAAUCAAUCUUAGUACCAGUAAUGGUUAUGGCACAACAAUAAAGGAAGUACAUUGCAUUAACUGCAAUCAAAUACUGCAUAAAAGGAAAGUAGAAUGCGAAGGAUUAGUUCAAGAGCUUAGUUUAGAACUUACAAAGAGAGAAAGAAACCCGAACAGAGAACCCAACCAGAGAGAGAGAGAGAGGCUGCGACUGUAAGCUACUUAGUAAAGAAGGAAAGCUAACAUGGAAAGUAAGGGUAGUGAGUGUCCGAGACAGAAAAUAGAAGGAGAGCCAGUGAGGUCAAGCAAAAAGGAUAGUUUAUUUGAAAAAAUUCGACCUUUUUGCUGCUAUUGGUCCGAUCUAAUUUUUGAGGUUUGAGUCAUUCAAUUGACCUUCGGUAUUUGAAUUAUUACGGAAAUGCGAUUGGCUUCUUAUUAUGCUUGCAGCUCUUGUGGUAUAGAUUAUAUUACUAAAUUGCCCCCCACGCCCACAGAGCCGCAUCUUUGUUUCUUCUUCUUUUUCAGACACAAACUAGUAUUUUAUAUAUUAUUAGUGGCACUACAAUUUUAUUUUAUUUUUCUUCUAUAGAGAAAAAUAAAAUUGAACUGCAUUAAAGGUGUCUCAUACAAUAUUUCCAUUUUCUUUAAGGAAUAUGCAAUUUUUCAUUUAAUAAAAAUUAAUUGAAAAUAACAGUUACAAUUAGUUUUCAAGAAAAUAACAGUUACACUUUACACCAAAUAAAUAAAGAGAAAUGAUAUUAAUAAAUAAUAUUUUAAUAAAUAUUUAAUUUUUUAUGUCUCAAUUUUUAUUAUAAUAUUUUUAAUAUUUAUAUAAUUGAUUUGUAGAUAAAUAAUUUAAAAUUUGCAAUGUUCGAAUUUAAUUUAACAAAUGUGGAUAAUAUUUAUAAAUUGCAAUUAUAAUAUUAAACUAUUUUUAAAAAAUAUACAAUAAUAAGAUUACAAAAUAAAAUAUUCUAUCCGUUAAUUCUAUUUAUUUUUAUAAUUCUAUUUAUUUAUAGAGUCAAAUAAAAAUUUAUGAUUUUGAUGGCUAUUUUAUUUAUUGAAAAAUUUUUUAUUGAGCUAAUUAUUUAUUUCGUCAUUUAUUUAGUCAAAUGAUUAUUGUUUAUUGUGUUGUUGAUUAUUAUGUCUUGAUAUUUAUGAUUUUAUAUUUAAUUAAUUAAUUUCAAUACAUACUAGGUGGAGGCCAAUUAAAAAAAUAUGCUACAUGUCAUUUCUUGGAAAAACAUGCUAAGUGGAGCUUUAUAGAAAGAUUAUGACAUAUAUCAAUUUCUUGGAAAAAAAAUAUUUACUUUAUAUAUGUUGAUUAGAAAAUUUUAAUUUUAGUCAAAUAAUAGAAUAAACCAAUAUUUCAAAAGAUCGCAAACCGGAAAAAAAAAAAUUGCAUCACAAUAAAAAAAUAAUAAAAAAAAAACUGAUUUAGGAAUAAAGGAUACCUUUAUAUUUUCAUUAAGCAUAUAACGGGGAAAAAAAAUAAAACUUAGAUGAGAGGGCUUAUAAGUUUAAGUGUUGUAAAUUACAGGGAUUAAAUAAUAAUUUUAUCAAUUUUACCAUACUAUAACGAUUAAAUAGUAAUUCAUCCUUAAAAAAAUUUUAUAUUUUAUUUAUUUUUUAACAUUUCUUUUUUGAAAAUGUAAUUUAUUAAUAAUAAUAUUAAGAAUUAUAAAUAAGCAUAUAAACCAGACAUAGGACUUUAAUAUUAGUAUCUAAUAGAGUUUGUUGAUCUUUUAAAGAAAUAAAAGAAUUUAUAUUCUUUUGAAUGAAUAUUAGUAGCUAAUAAUAGAUUUCUGCUUUUAGCUUAUCUUGACAAAAGAUAUAAAUUUUUAUAGCAGCAACUAGUCCGUUACUUAAUUUGAAUAUUAAAAUAAUAAUUUUUUUGGAUAUUCUAUAACUAGAUUGCUUUUUCUAUAAUUUGCAAUAUAUGACGCACAUAAAUAUAUAUCCGCCGUUAUGCGUCAAUAGCAUCAAAGGAGGAACAUAUUGUACUACAAGGCUCCAUUGAUAGAAGAUUUUUACUUGCAAAUAAAGAUCUAAAAUCUCCAACCGAAUAAAAUCAAAUAUCAUAGUUUUAUUUAGUAAUAAACCCUCACAAAGAAGGGGAAAAAACUCCAAAUAUGGAGACAAACAACAAUAACAAAACAAAAAUAAAUAAAUUUAUUAUAGGAAAAACAGAUCUGAGUUUAUUAAAGCAAUAUUAAAAGCAAAAAAAGGUGAAGCGAAAAAAAUUUUAGAAAAUAGGAAGUACUAAAUCUAGGGUUAAAAAACUAAAGAAAAAGAAGAAGAAAAGAUAUAUAUAUAUAUAUAUUUAACAAUUAUUAGACUAGUCAUUUAUCAUUAUCGUGAAUGAGACAAUUCUUUUUCAUUUGUAAAAAGAUAAAGAGCAGUACUCUUUUAAAAAUAUUCCUUAAUGAAAUUAAUAUACAAAUUUUAUAAAUUGAAUAAGAGAGAAUAAAAUAGUGUUGGUGUAGAAGUUGGCAAUAUUUUUUCUUUAUUUGUUAGUAAACUUUUAAUACUGUUUCAGGGCUUAUUAAUUUAGUUAUUUAUUUUUACUCUUUGUUGGUUGUUAGUGAUUAAUAAGAAUCAUCAUUCGAUUCAAUUGAACUAAAUUUAUUAAAAAUAUAAAAUUUAAAAAAUAUAAAAAUUGAACCAAACUAACUAAAUAUGUUUAUAAAACCAAAUCAAACCGAAAAUAAUUCAAUAUUGUUAAUAAAAAAAUAAAAUUGAAAUAAUUGAACAAAUAAUUUUUUUUACCUUUUCAGAGUAUCUGAUUUAGUUCGAAAUUGAAAUUAAGCUAACCAACAUUAUGUUAAUUCAGUUUGAUUUUCUAAUUUAAUAUGAAAUUUAAUCAGGUUCAGUAAUUUGAUUGUUUCAGUUUAUUUGAAACAAAAAAAAAUUUGAAAUUCAUAUUUAACUAACUAAACCACAUUGAUUUUAUUGAAAAGUUAAUUCGAACUAAAUAGAAUAAUAUUAUAUUUAUUUUGUUUAAUUUCUUAGGUAAAACCAAAGCUUACUAACCCAAAGUUUUUUUUUUUUUUUUUUUGAAAGGAAGAAAAUAUCAUUAGUCAGAAAUAUCAUAUAUAAUAAGAGCUUCUAUAUUUCUUGGAAGCUCAUGCAAAAGACGAGUAUAUGAAUGAGCGACCCAAGCUAAAGAGUGAGCUACUCUAUUCACUUGCCUUAGUAUCCAUUUAACAGUAAUAUUAUUACUUCAUAAACUCAAAUGCUGAUAAUCAGCAAUCAUCAAACCCCAUUGAGAUAGGUCAGUAGAAUUACUUUGAAAAGCUAUAACUACUUCCUUAGCAUCCAACCCUACCUGCACAUGUGAGAAGUGCCUCACUUUAAUCCAUAAGAGGACCUCCGUUAAACCCAACACCUCAGCCAUUCUAGCUUCAUAAACACCAUUGAAAAAAUCAGAUAAGGUAGUAACAAAAUCUCCACUCCCAUUAUGAAACACAACGCUAAAGCCCACUUUAUUUAAUCCCUUAAAAACGGUCGCAUCUACAUUGCACUUUAAAAAACUAGCUGAUGGAGGAGACCAGCCUAAUUGCAGAGUAAGACUAACAGCUUGAAGCCUACCAUUUUCACUAACACACUGAGCUUCAGACCAUUCGUGAAGAUAAUGUAGAGCCGCAGCAACCAACUGGCAAGGGUCAGAAAUAAAUUUCUGCCAAAUAAACAGGUUCUUGUGGAACCAUAUGAAUAAAACAACACAACAUCUCUACACCAUUUCAUCCCCUAAUCUAUCCUUGACAUUCAGCAACCAAUACAUAAAAGAGUCACCAUCUACACUCACCAAUCUAGCAUCCAAUGAAAGCCAACACAUAGCAGCUCACAGACACCAUAACAAAAGAUGCUCGAUAGUUUUUGUCUAAUCAUAAUAUACACAACAGACAUUAACAUGAAUGCCCCUCGAUAAACUAGACCUGGUUGGUAGAAUAUCACAACACACCCUCUAAAGAAAACUUUUAACCUUAGAAGGAACUCCUAGAUUCCACAAGAACUUCUAAAAGCGUUGCACCUAUAACCUGUAACAAGAGUGCAUUUUAAAGGCUUAAUGAUAGGCCGAUUUGACAGUGAAGGUCCCCACUCUCUCCAGAUGUCAGACAAUUGUAUCAUCACAGUUUUGCAUACCUAGAGGAAUUUGAAGAAUACGACCAGCAUCAACAGGAGCAAAAAGGUCACGCACAAAGCCCUCAUCCCAUUUUUUAGUAACAAGGUCAAUCAAACCAAACACUUUAAGCUCCUCAAAACCUUCGAUAAUAUCUGAUUCUACAAAAUUAGGACUACUACACACCCAAGGAUCAUCCUAAACACAAAGUCUAAACCCAUUUCUAGCCCUCCACCGAAUUCCAGCUUUUAGCACAGGUUGAGAACAGAAAAGACUCCUCUAUAUAUAACUCGAAUUUUGGCCUAAAAUGGCGUUACAAAGAUCCCCAUUUGGGUAGUAUUUUCCUUUGAGGAUCUGUGAUAAAAGAGUACUUUGGUUGGUUAUUAGCCGCCAACCUUGCUUACCCAAUAAAGCUAAAUUGAAACUAUGAAGGUGUCAAAAAUCCAUACCUCCAUUAGUUUUACUCAAACAAAUUUUAUCCCAAGCUAACCAAUGAAUGUUUUGCCUUCCAUCCUUCUUUGAAUCACUAAAAAGAAUUCAACAUCCUUUCAAGCUCCAUAUAGGUAGUCACAGGUAAUAAAAACACACUCAUGCAAUAAGAUGGUAUUACUUAAGCCACUGAUUUAAUAAGGACUUCCUUACCCGCCUUGGUUAACGACUUGCUUUUCCACCCUUGGAGAUGCUUCCAUAUUGGAUCUCGAAUAUAGGCAAACACAGGUUUCUUGCUUCUGCCAACUAUAGACAGGAGGCCUAAGUAAUGACUUGGGCUAAGAGGUGUAUGAACAUUUAACAAACCAGGAAUAUUAAUUCUCAAUAAAUUACUAACGUUAGGACUAAACAUAAUACCUAAUUCUAGUAGUUAAUAGUUGCCCAAAAGCUUGCUCAUACAAAGAUAAAAUAUGCUUAACUCGAUUCACUUCAAAAACAUUUGCCCGAAAAAAGAAAAAAUUAUUGCUUACGAAAAGCAAAUGAGAAACAGAAGGUGUACCUCUAAUAAUUUGACAGCCAUGGACAUCACCACAACCUCUUCGCCUGUCUGAAUAGAGCUAAAAGCCCCUCCGCACACAACAAAAAGAGAUAAGGCGAUAAUGGAUCCCCCUGCCUUAGACCCCUCUCGGGAAAAAUAGCCUAUAUUCGUUCCAUUAAAGGAAAUUGAAUACUUUACUGAAGAAAUACAUAACAUAAUCAAGUCAACUCAUCAUGAAGCAAGACCCAUGUUAAUCAUCAUCGCUUGAAGAAAACCCCAAUCCACACAAUCAUAACACUUGCUAAUAUCGACCUUUAGCGUGGCUAGACCUUUCUUUCCAAAAGUUUUUCGCUUCAUAUACUGGAGGAUCUCAAAAGCUACCAACCCAUUGUCAUUGAUAAGUCUACCCGGCACAAAAGCUGACUAAGAUGGGGAAAUAACUUUGUCCAAUACUUUUUUCAACAUGUUAGCUAAAACCUUUGCAAGAAUUUUGUAAACCACAUUAUAGAGAGAAAUUGGCCAAAAAUCCUUAACUGUUUGAGGAGCCCCAAUUUUUAGAAUUAAAGCUACAGAGGUACAGUUAGGAAAAUUUGGAAACUCACCGGUCGACAAUCAAGUCUUAUAGUUGAAAAUCACAUCUGUCCCCACAAUUUGCCAAAAAUUCUGAUAAAAGUAUACAUUUAAACCAUCAGAACCUGGACUCUUGUACGGAUGCAUUUGGAAUAAAGUAGUCUUAAACUCAUCAUUUGUAUAAAGCGUAAGGAGCAUCUCAUUGUCAGUCGACAAAAUAGAAAGAAUAAUAAAAUCUGUAACAGAAUCAUAAGAGUGUGGCGAAGCAGAAAAUAAAUCAGUGAAAUAUUUUGAACAAUACUCCCACCGCAACGUCAUCUUCACACCAAACCCCAUCCUCAUCAUACAACCCCUUAAAUGAAUUAAUACGAUUUUGUUGCAUUGCAGCUGCAUGAAAGAAUACUAUGUUACUAUCACUAUUUUUCAACCAAAACACUUUGUUGCGCUGCUACUAAAAUAUUUCCUCUUGAGCUAAGUUAUUAUUCAAGUCGAUUUUAGCUUUCUCAUAAUCCGCAAUCGACGCUGCAUCAGUUAGACCAUGCAAACUAACCAUAGUUAUUAAUGGUUGAUUAAAUUGUGAAUGUUGGUCAUUUUUGUAAAAUUUUAGACAAUUGCUAAAACAUAGAGCUUGUUCAACAAUAAUUUUUAGUGUUUAUUAUUUUGGCCUAGGCCGUAUUCGGCAACACCGUUUUGGAUAGCUUUUAGUGUUUUGAAUUAGUCAAAACGCUUUUUCUCUAUAUUAUUGUGUUCAGUAACCUGAUAUAUGAAAUAGAUUUUAGAGGAUAAAUGAGCAUUUUCUAAAACGCUAUCCCACCUAAUGUUUAGCGGCUUAGGUUUUUUUAAUUCUUUUAUGCUUUAAAAUCUUUCUAUAUCACAUUAUAUCUUUUUAUUAUUUUUUAUGCUUGGCUUGUUUAUAAUUGAUAGUAAGAAAAAAUGUUUAUUUGUUUUUUGCCUCCAAAGGCGAACGGGGAUUAGUUAGGUUUGUGGACUAUUAAAAUGAAUACAAGCCUGGAUACCUCAUGCAAGCAUAAAAAAUGUUUGUUUAUAUAUUUGCAUUUGAACUCGAGAAAAUGUUAAAAAUUAAAAAUAUUAAUCCACUAAAAUAUUAAAAAUUUCCAAUUUUAUUUAUAAAAUAAUGAACUUUUUAAUUUUUGCUCCCUUAAAUUUUGAAAAUUUAGGUUUUGUGAAAUCAUCUUUAUAUAUAUAUACUGAGUUUAAUUCUAUGGUUAUAAGUGAAAUUCUGAGUGAAUAUUACAUUAUCAUUUUUUUAACAUUUUAAAUUUAAUUGUCAAUCAAACAACUGUUUUUAUCAAAUACUUUCGCUUUCAGUUGCUACUUAAAUAGCUAACAACUAGCAGCUAACAUCUAACAAUUGACAUCUAAUAGUUAAAAGCUACUAAAACAGCUAACAACUAGUAGGUAUUAGAACAGCUAAAUUUGUCAAAUGGACCCCUAGUCAAAAUACAUGAUGUUUAUAUUAAUAUUGAGAGGUUGAAAAAAGUAAAUUAUAAGACGUUGUCUCUUAUCAACAAGUAAAAUAACUAACAACUAUUAGAAUAAUUAACUUCUAUUAAAACAACUCAUGUUACAAAGUAAGAGCAUAAAAUCACCAUUAAAUAUAAGUAUAUAUAUAUAUAUAUAUAUAUAUAUACUUAUAUUUAAUGGUGAUUUUCAAAGCUGACGUGUCACUCCCAUGUUUGAGUGUUGUUUUUUCUCUUUUUUUUUAUAAAUUUUCUAAAUUUUUAGUAAUUGUUGAGCAUUUUUAUUUUCAUAUCUAUAUAUACCUAUAUCUAAAAUCUAAAACUUUGAAUAAUUAAAACUUUAAAAAUUUUGAAUUAUUGAAUUUAAAACUUUAAAACUUUAAAACUUUUGAAGGUUUGAAUUUAGAACUUCAAAAAAUUUAAAUUUAUAUAUAUAUAUAUACACCUCUUUCAAUGAUUAUUUUCACAAUGGUUUUCUUCUUAUCUUUUUGUUGUUUCUUUCAAUCAUUUUAUUUAAAUUUUCUAGGUUUGGCUAUGAUUAUAUUUUAAAAUUAUAUUCAUUUAUCAUAAUUAUCUAUAUCUAUAUUCAAUUUUGAAACUUUUUAAAAUUAUAUGUAUAUCUUUUAUAAUAUUUUAUUUGCUUCUUUUUAUUUCUCUGAAGUUGUAUGAUUUAUUUUUUAUAUAAAUAUUUAUUUUAUAUAUACAAUAAAAAAUCUCUAAUACGAUGUAUGAUAAUAAAGCAAUAAAACAAUCCGGGCAACGCGCGGGCUUCUACCUAGUUAUAUAAAUAUAAAAGCUACAUAUAUCAUUUUCUGCUUUAGUGUAUUGUGUAAAUAAAAAUAGUAAUUAAGUCUUUUUAAUAAUAUUUAAUAAUUAGUUUUAUUUUUAAAUAAUUACAAAUAAAAUAAUUCAAUAUCGGCCUAGUAUCUUUGAAUUGAAAUUAAAGGCUUUUAGUGUAGGGGUAAUCUCGUAAGAGCAUGAUCCUACAUAGCUUAACCUACAAAUAUAUACAAUAUGGGUAUGGCAUGUUAAAACCAAGAACACUAUGGGCAAUUUUGGUAGGUGAUUCAAAAUUCAUAAAAAGAGGCAAGAUUCUUAAUGAUCUAAAGCUAGAACGCCGGAUAAAAAAGUAGCCGUUUUAGUAAGAAGCUUCAAUUCACCAUUUUACCCUUACUCUCUUAUUUAAUUACCUAAACUCAACCCAUAACUCUCAAAAACUGCGGGGGCGAGAGAAGUAAAUUGAAACAAUCUAUAAGCCAAACCAAGUUUUAAGUUAGGUAAAUAAAGUAAAUGUGAAGGGCAGUUAGGACAUUUCGAUGAGUAAUAUCGCUGGGAGAAGAGAUAAAUGUCGGUUUGUUCUGUUCUGUGCAAAAAUUCCAUAAAUGCUUUUUGUUAUUUUAUUUGUUUAUUGGGUCCCACUGCCAUUAGUCGCAACUGACAAGAGCAGUAGUCUACUCUACUCUACGGCGGUGGGACCCAAUAAGACCACAGGACCUGCUCUAACGUGGCAUUCACUGUCUGGGGCCUAUCUAUCUUCUGUGUAUUUUCUAUUUGUUUCUUUGGCUUUUAAAAUUUAAAGAACCGUUUCCCUAUGCAUUGGUUGGGCUCCAUGCUGAUGCUGACUCCGAAUAAUAUUUUAAAUUGAUAAAAAUAUCUAAACUCUGGACUUGGUUUUAAUUGUCAUUUAAAUUUAAUUUUCUUCAUAGUAUGUUGAAUUUUCAUUUUAGUUAUAAUAAUAUUCUAAUUUUAAAUUGCAUCUAAUUUUAUAAAUAAAAUAUUAUUUUUAUAGAAUCCAAUUUAAUAUUUUCCCCAAAUUACACUAAUAAAUAAAUAUUUAUAUUUAUUUAUAUAAAUAUUAAAAUAUAAAUAAUUUAUCAUCUUAAAAAUAAAAUGACGUCAUAAUGAAUAAAGCUUAUUUUUAUAAGAGAUUUAACCUUCUGCAAAGUAAUAAUUAUUUGUAAUAAGAUUAAAUGUUCCCUUUGAUUAGCAACAUUAUCCUUCUGCAAAUUAAACAGGUACCCAAUGGAAAUAGGUCAAGGAAAAAAUGUUACAUACUUCCAAUCAUACUUAAUUAACUGACAAAUUCAAAAUGCUUGGAGAAUUAAUUAUUUGUAGUUCUUUCACCUGAAACCCAAACAUCGCCUGAAGCCAAUCUAAAAUAU
rnacentral:lncRNA from 1 species